rnacentral:lncRNA from 1 species
AAAACUGAUAAUUAUAACAUAGGGAUGGUCUGGGGAGAGGAACAGCAACUGCCAAAUUAAUUCAUUUGCUCAGGGAAUAAGGGACCACUGGUGGGUUCCGAGCUCUAAGGAGGGAUGCUAUAUUGCAAACAGACAAUUUUAAGGUGUAGAGUUGAAGACUUGGAGACUUUAAGAAUAACCCCACUCAUCCUUUAAUACUGUUUCAUAAAUCUCUCUGGUCUUCCCUUCCAGCCUUCCCUGGGUGAUCUAGUAUGAUACAAAUGCACUGAGUCUCUUUUCUGACCUGUUUCUGAAUUGUUAACACUGGAAUGCUCAAAUUAAGCCAGUGACACAGAAAGAAUAUUCUCAAAACCAGACUCAAAAAGUAAAGCUAAAUUUCUCAUUGUUUUCUUCUCUUUCUUUCAGAACUCUGGAAUACGUACUAAAUAAUAACUAUGCAAGAAAUUACCAGCACGAGUCAGCCUUAUUACAGAUGAACAGUUCAUCACUAAUGUAUUUAACUCAAGUUCUUCGAGUUCUAAUGAAUUAACUGCACUUAAGUGGCCUGUAGCUGAGAACUUGUUGGGGGAAAAUGGCUUGGAUACAAAUCCCAUCUGUAAUCACCCUUUGAAAACACUUAAUACUUAUGCAAUAUUUAAAUCAAGGAUUAUUUUCAAUUCCCCUGUCAAACAUCUUAAAGGAAUAUAAACAACUUAUGGCUUUCUAAUAUGUGGCAAUAUGUAAUGCAUGCAGAUGACCAUUAGGGAUAAAUACAAAUUAACAUGUAUGGGCUCUUAAAUUGGGAUCCAUUUCCCCUUUAGGCUAUGAAUGCUGUAGUCCUAUGCAGCUUAAUUACUUUGCCUGAGAAAUUUCUAGCUGAUGACUGUAUCUACAGGACACAGAAUCACAUUGUAGAUCAGCUCCAAAUCCUGUGAAGUCAAACAAUCAUUAUUUGAUUUAUCCAUUGUUUGGAGAAAGGAGACAUAUGUGUCUAAAUUGAUUCUUUGGAGUUAAUAUCCAAAGUAUCAUAAGAUCAUUUAAUGUGCAGUUCAUCAUGCAGUGAUUUGAACAGCAUUUUUGAGACUCAUGUCACUUCACUGAAGAAGAUCCUAUAAAUAAACACUGCUAAAAGCACUUUGCUUAUGAGCUGCUAUAUUGGAAAUGUCUAGAGCGAGCCAGAAACUCUCUAAGAAACCACAGCAGCUUCCUUUGGUCAGCAAGCACAGAUAUAGAGUUAUUACUUGUACUAUUCUGUUUUAAGAGGGCUCAGCCAGGCUGUACUUGAGCAUGAAAGGACUCACUGUCAAUAACUCUGAAGUGUUAAUGAGACAUAGAAACAUAGAUGCUAUUCAAAACUGGCCAGGACCUUAACAGAACAUUUUACCAUUUUAAUUUCAGUGUGUUAAAAGAGGUGUCUGGAAAAUGGAUGUAGUCCAGAGAGGAAAACAAGAGAAAUGAUUAAAGGGUAGGGAAAAUAACAGUUUGUAGAAAAGUCUAAAGGGAUUUGGAUUUUUCUAUUCUAAAGAAAAUUGGAGCUAUAUUGUUCUUUAAAAGUCAUUUUCCAUUUAGUGAAAAACUAUUCUAAAGUUAAAUUGAGAAUUAGUACUUGGAGAUAGCACUAUAUAUAUACACACAUGCAUAUAUAUGCAUAUGUAUUUAUAUAUAGAUAUAGAACAAGGGAGAUGUGUUCUCUAGUCUAAAACUUUGUAAAGGCAGGAAAAUGCCACUAAUGGUGGUAAAGAUGUAUUUUCCCCAAUUGUACUCUGAAAAUCACUGAUCUCAGAGGCAGGACUAGCGAUUACUGAGUCAUUUCCACAAUUAAUGUUUGGUCUUAUUUUGGACAAGCUGUCUCUCCCCAGAUACUUAUUCCUAUUUCCUACCAGAGUCUUAUUAGCCAUGACAAUUUUUUCCUAAUCCUAUCUCAGGAAUUUUUCUUUUACUACUAGUUCUUCAUUUACUUAAUAUAUUGUAUUUAAAUCACCUCAUGUACCUUUAUAAAGUAUGAUCCUUUGAAAUUCUGCCUAUCUACUUUUGCUCAGUCCAAAUCAUACAUAUCUGAACACCAAACUCCUGCAUUUUACAAACUGCAGACAAAAGUAGUACUUUUAACUUGUUGGUCCACUAAAUCUCCUUUCUGCCUACUCUUACCAUAGAGAUAGAUACACAGGCUAUGAAAGUAUUAGUGAUUAAUUCUGACUACCCUACAUUAAUUGAAUUCUCACCUAGGUAAAGGUCUUUGACAAAGCCAUUAUAAUGUGACUAGGCAAAUAACUUUUGUAAGUGGAAAGAGAAGGAUUUGAUUUAUCUCUGAUUCAAAGAUGCAUCAAGAUCACUCUGAAUAAAAAUAUCCAUCUGUGUCCACAUAUAUAAAACAUUUGUUGAAUGAAUGAAUGGGCUGUGAUUUUAAAAUAGUGUCUUUAAUACACAAAUUACUCUCAAGCAAUAUACAUGAUGAAAUGUUCAUAUUGGCUAUUGUCUUGAUUUUUACUUUUUCUGCGUGACUCCCCAGACUAUUUUGACUCCAAUAAAGAUGGUUUUUCACAUCUUCAAUUGAUGAUCAACUCCAUCUUUCCUCUUCCCAUAACCAUGAGCCACAUCAGAAAAUAAAAUGGAUACCACUGAAAAAAUCACUGUAUAUCAGGAGCUCAAGCAUGAUUCUUUAAAUAAUGAAUCAAAGACUCCACUAUAUUCCUAUAGCCUAUUGAAUCACCACAUACUUUAAAGUGAUCUGUGGUGUGUUUAACAAAUGUUUAUCCAUGCCCGAAUGUAUAAUUACUAAUUUAGUCUGAAAC